AAUUCAGAAAUAUGGUUUUUAUCCGUUUAUUUCUUGAAGCACGUAAUACCAACGCAGACUCAAUACGGCUUGACUAAAUUUUUUUAUCUAAUUAAUGAAGGAGUUACCGUUAGAUAGACCAAUCAGAGUGAAGAAUCUUACGCUUCGAAAUGAAAAUAGCGUCAAGCGGAGCGCACCUAGUAAAAUAGAAAAGAUAGUACCAUAUAAUGGUAACGCAUUUUUCUAUACGUUGUAUUAUCAAUGACCGAAGAAGAGGCGUGAAGUAAGGCGAGAGGGACAAAUGGCGACUGGAAUGUGGCGGCCUCAACGUCGAGCUGACCGAUUGCUUCGUUGCUGAACACUAGGUUCUUGCUGCCCAUGGACUGAGAUCGCGUACUCUACUACGUAAACGUAAGGGAAGAUAAGGAUUCGAUAGAUCAUUUGCAUAUAAGGCUGUAAGGUAUCCUCGAUUGUCAGCCGUAUAAAAAAAUCAGAUCGCUGCGGCUAACUUCGCGCAUCAACCUGUCGGCAUAUUCACGUCUCGCGGUCGCGCUCGUCGCAUCGUCUCUCUCGUUAUUGUCGAUUGUUUCGCGCACUUCGUCGAGUUAAAAGGUCGAAGUAACACGGCAGAGUGCAUGUGUCAUGUGCGGCAAGUUUAGACAAAACGUUUCGUCGAUCGGAUUGCGUGAAAAAUCUGACGACGAUAUUGUUGGAAGCGCGCAACUUUUAACCUUGCGACUCGACGUCCAUCAUGGCGGACUGGAAUGUUUACGCGUCGUGAGCGCGUGAAAAUACCGAAAUAAGGUCAUCGCGAGUGUGUACGAAUGUCGCGUUCGCGAGUGUAAUGUGUUACACGACGAAGAUUCAGCUUCAGGUCUCCGGCAAUCAACGAAGUAUGCGGAGGAUCGAGAAUUCCAGGAAGAGUGCUCUGCGGGAAGGUGCCGAGGGUCGAGGAAUGUCGAUUAUGUUGCCUCGCCUCCAGUAUUCUUCAAGGACUCCGACGAUUUUUGAUGGCGGACAGACGAGAAGCCGCAUGUGCAUCCUUCUGGAUUUU